rfam:Eubacterium cylindroides T2-87 draft genome.
GUAAAAGCUUUGAGAAGGAAAAGUAAAAUUGAGUUUUUUCAUAGAGACGAUAUGGCUGGUGAAAAUAUCGAUGAAAUUCAAUUUGAAAAGCACCUUUGAGUGAUUUUAUGAAUUUAGUAGUAAAAUCCGGUACAUACCGUUAUCAUGUCAAGAGAUCUUAUUUUUAAGAUAAGAAGGGUGGCAACGCGAGACAUCGUCCCUUUA